AGAUUGAACGCUGGCGGCAUGCCUUACACAUGCAAGUCGAACGGCAGCACGGGAGCAAUCCUGGUGGCGAGUGGCGAACGGGUGAGUAAUACAUCGGAACGUGCCCAAUCGUGGGGGAUAACGCAGCGAAAGCUGUGCUAAUACCGCAUACGAUCUACGGAUGAAAGCAGGGGACCGCAAGGCCUUGCGCGAGUGGAGCGGCUGAUGGCAGAUUAGGUAGUUGGUGAGGUAAAGGCUCACCAAGCCUUCGAUCUGUAGCUGGUCUGAGAGGACGACCAGCCACACUGGGACUGAGACACGGCCCAGACUCCUACGGGAGGCAGCAGUGGGGAAUUUUGGACAAUGGGCGCAAGCCUGAUCCAGCCAUGCCGCGUGCAGGGAUGAAGGCCUUCGGGUUGUAAACUGCUUUUGUACGGAACGAACGGCUUUUUCUAAUACAAGAAGUCAAUGACGGUACCGUAAGAUAAGCACCGGCUAA
rnacentral:rRNA from 1 species